CUAAUACAUGCAAGUAGAACGCUGAAGAGAGGAGCUUGCUCUUCUUGGAUGAGUUGCGAACGGGUGAGUAACGCGUAGGUAACCUGCCUUGUAGCGGGGGAUAACUAUUGGAAACGAUAGCUAAUACCGCAUAACAAUGGAUGACACAUGUCAUUUAUUUGAAAGGGGCAAUUGCUCCACUACAAGAUGGACCUGCGUUGUAUUAGCUAGUAGGUGAGGUAACGGCUCACCUAGGCGACGAUACAUAGCCGACCUGAGAGGGUGAUCGGCCACACUGGGACUGAGACACGGCCCAGACUCCUACGGGAGGCAGCAGUAGGGAAUCUUCGGCAAUGGGGGCAACCCUGACCGAGCAACGCCGCGUGAGUGAAGAAGGUUUUCGGAUCGUAAAGCUCUGUUGUAAGUCAAGAACGAGUGUGAGAGUGGAAAGUUCACACUGUGACGGUAGCUUACCAGAAAGGGACGGCUAACUACGUGCCAGCAGCCGCGGUAAUACGUAGGUCCCGAGCGUUGUCCGGAUUUAUUGGGCGUAAAGCGAGCGCAGGCGGUUUGAUAAGUCUGAAGUUAAAGGCUGUGGCUCAACCAUAGUUCGCUUUGGAAACUGUCAAACUUGAGUGCAGAAGGGGAGAGUGGAAUUCCAUGUGUAGCGGUGAAAUGCGUAGAUAUAUGGAGGAACACCGGUGGCGAAAGCGGCUCUCUGGUCUGUAACUGACGCUGAGGCUCGAAAGCGUGGGGAGCGAACAGGAUUAGAUACCCUGGUAGUCCACGCCGUAAACGAUGAGUGCUAGGUGUUGGAUCCUUUCCGGGAUUCAGUGCCGCAGCUAACGCAUUAAGCACUCCGCCUGGGGAGUACGACCGCAAGGUUGAAACUCAAAGGAAUUGACGGGGGCCCGCACAAGCGGUGGAGCAUGUGGUUUAAUUCGAAGCAACGCGAAGAACCUUACCAGGUCUUGACAUCCCGAUGCUAUUUCUAGAGAUAGAAAGUUACUUCGGUACAUCGGUGACAGGUGGUGCAUGGUUGUCGUCAGCUCGUGUCGUGAGAUGUUGGGUUAAGUCCCGCAACGAGCGCAACCCCUAUUGUUAGUUGCCAUCAUUCAGUUGGGCACUCUAGCGAGACUGCCGGUAAUAAACCGGAGGAAGGUGGGGAUGACGUCAAAUCAUCAUGCCCCUUAUGACCUGGGCUACACACGUGCUACAAUGGUUGGUACAACGAGUUGCGAGUCGGUGACGGCAAGCUAAUCUCUUAAAGCCAAUCUCAGUUCGGAUUGUAGGCUGCAACUCGCCUACAUGAAGUCGGAAUCGCUAGUAAUCGCGGAUCAGCACGCCGCGGUGAAUACGUUCCCGGGCCUUGUACACACCGCCCGUCACACCACGAGAGUUUGUAACACCCGAAGUCGGUGAGGUAACCUUUUGGAGCCAGCCGCCUAAGGUGGGAUAGAUGAUUGGGGUGAAGUCAUAA
rnacentral:rRNA from 1 species